GUCGUCAGCUCGUGUCGUGAGAUGGUUGGGUUACGUCCGUACGGGCGCAACCCUUGUCCUUAGUUACCAGCACGUUAUGGUGGGCACUCUAAGGAGACUGCCGGUGACAAACCGGAGGAAGGUGGGGAUGACGUCAAGUCAUCAUGGCCCUUACGGCCUGGGCUACACACGUGCUACAAUGGUCGGUACAAAGGGUUGCCAAGCCGCGAGGUGGAGCUAAUCCCAUAAAACCGAUCGUAGUCCGGAUCGCAGUCUGCAACUCGACUGCGUGAAGUCGGAAUCGCUAGUAAUCGUGAAUCAGAAUGUCACGGUGAAUACGUUCCCGGGCCUU
rnacentral:rRNA from 1 species